CCAUGAAACACUUUUCAAAUCCAUUCUUGCAUGCCCGGCAUCUGCGCUUCCUUGGGCAUUCAUCAAAGAAAUGGCCCCUAGCUCUACAACUAUGACACAUUCCUCUAUUCUUUCCGUCUAUUCUGCCUUACGAAUAAACUACGAUUAACAGAAAUAAAUUCACGGUCACUAUAACAAUUAAAGAAACGACUUCAAUGUUGGAGAACAUUGAUAAUUUCAUCUCAAAUUUCAUAGUGAUUGUGCAAUAAUAGGCUGUGAUUGUUGAUAAUUACUGACAUGUUGGAAUGCAACAUACAGAGUUUUCUUCAUCAGUAAUGUACCAUGUUAGACCCCUUCAAUUUAGCAGCAGUAAACUAUGAACAACCAUGGAGGUGAACACUAGAAAAUAACAAAAACACAAACAACAGCUUUAUAGUGACACAGGAAAUAGUGAUAACGAUGCAUAAUGACAUUGCACAAUGAAAUUAAAAAGAAUAAAAAUUUCAUACAAACACACCAAUAGUUCACCAACAAUUCACAAAUUUGUUAUACGAAUUUAAUAAAAAAUGUGCAAAAC
rnacentral:lncRNA from 1 species